UGGUCCCUCAAUUAAAUUAUUCGUUCAAAUGGUCCAUCAACUCUAUAUUAAUCGCUCCAUUGAUCCCACUAUUACAUUAUGUUAAUGUUGCCGUCAAAUGUAAGGGUAAAACCGUCCACAACUGACCUAUGUUCCCCAAAUAGGUUAUAAAGUGGUGAUACAUAGGUGAUAAAGUGGUCAAAAGUCUUAUUUACCCCUACAAAUGUAGCAUGUGCUGCUCACAUGACUAAAUUUAAUAGAAAACAUAACGGUAGGAUCAAAGCACCGAUUAAUAAAGAGUUGGUGGACCAUUUGAAUGAAUAAUUUAGUUUAUUGGCCA
rnacentral:miRNA from 1 species